GUGCCAGCCGCCGCGGUAAUACGUAGGGGGCGAGCGUUGUCCGGAUUCAUUGGGCGUAAAGCGCUUUAAGGCGGUUCGCUAAGUCGGGUGUGAAACCUCCAGGCUCAACCUGGAGACGCCACUCGAUACUGGCGUGACUAGAGUUCGGUAGGGGACCACGGAAUUCCUGGUGUAGCGGUGAAAUGCGCAGAUAUCAGGAGGAACACCAGUGGCGAAGGCGGUGGUCUGGGCCGAUACUGACGCUGUAGAGCGAAAGCGUGGGGAGCGAACAGGAUUAGAAACCCUCGUAGUCC
rnacentral:rRNA from 1 species